rnacentral:lncRNA from 1 species
CAUUUCCAAUCCGUUUAGUCGGUCUCGUACCCAAGUGUAUAUCCCUUAUUUGUUUGCGUAACACUCUUGAUAUUGAAACCAGAGAAUAAGCUUACCGCUCUAAGUCGAUCUAUUAUUCUCUUUACCUCCAAACCUUCCUAGUCGAGCUUCCACCGCCCCCUAAAGAAAGAGAUGGGAGCACAUCCGUAACUCAACGUUACGACUUACGGGCACUCAUCUCAUGGAUACCCCUUCUUUUCUUGAGCCAGAGUUGGGGCUUUUGCGGCAUCUAGUUCAGUAUCAGAUAGAGCAGAUAGUUUAGUCCCUUGGCAAAGAAGGUUGACUUCUCUGUCACUUCCGUACUUCUGUAACUUCUCUUUAGCUUUUUAAUUGAAUUGGUUAGAAAUUCCCUGGUAUUGGCUAGAAGAGAGGGAUUAGUCCCCCUCCAACACUGACUUCUUAGUCGAGUAGUUAUCUUUCUCCUUAGCUUCGGUUUUCUCGAAACUGGCUACUCCUUAUGAUAUGCCACCUCAACCCCCGAUCUAAGAGCAUCUGAGAACAUCUCCGGCAUUGUCGAGGGAAAGUCAGAUAACCGGAAUGAUUGGCCUUCAUGCCUAUCCCCAUCGAUCAGAACAGGCAACAGAUCUUUCAGCGGAUGUAGCAGCGGAUCAAUAUCCGCUGUGUUCAACUCCUGCUACUGGGUCAACUCCAAACCAACAUUCGGGAAGGGAAGCCAAACUACUUCUUGAACUAAACAACUUCUUCCUUUUCAUUGAUUGACUAAUGCCCCUCGGUUGAAAGAUAAUCUUUUACCGCUCCGCUGGAUCAGCUGCAGAAGAAUUCUUCCUAUUAUAGAUCACUGCCAUCUCACGAAUUGGAUUUGAACCAAUAUCUCCGGGCGACUUUCCUUGCGCGGUAAAGUAAAAAAAAAAAAGCGAUAAGUAGGCUCGCUAUUGCGAGCUAUACAAGCUGUUUGCCUUUAUACGGCUUCGCUAGCGCUCCUAUGAAGUGGUGGGCCUUCUAGAAGCUUCGCCAGAAGCAAGAUGAGGUCGCUCUCCUUCGCUCGUUCCGUACUUGACUUACGAGCUCGUGUAGUACUCGCCCCUAUCUCUAAAGGGGCU